rnacentral:rRNA from 1 species
GACAGAGGGUGCAAACGUUGUUCGGAAUUACUGGGCGUAAAGCGUGUGUAGGCGGCUAGGUAAGUCGGAUGUGAAAGCCCCGGGCUCAACUCGGGAAGUGCACUCGAUACUGCUUAGCUCGAGUACCGGAGAGGUUGGUGGAAUUCUCGGUGUAGAGGUGAAAUUCGUAGAUAUCGAGAGGAACACCGGUGGCGAAGGCGGCCAACUGGACGAGUACUGACGCUGAGGAGCGAAAGCCAGGGGAGCAAACGGG